rnacentral:RNase_P_RNA from 1 species
ACGGUAAACCCCACCGGGAGCAAAACCGAAUAGGAAGGGCCGAUGGCUUCGGGCCAUGGAUGCGUUUCCGCAUCGUCCUUCGGGUAGGUUGCGCGAGGCAGGCGGCGACGCUUGUCCCAGAUGAAUGGCCGUCCAUCGGUGCGUCGCGAGGCGCCCGGGGACAGAACCCGGCUUACAGGCCGUCUGGUCCU